rnacentral:tRNA from 1 species
GCGAGCGUGGCGGAAUUGGCAGACGCGCCGGGUUUAGGUCCCGGUACCGAAAGGUGUGGGAGUUCGAGUCUCCCCGCUCGCACCC